rnacentral:rRNA from 1 species
UAUCCGCCCGGGAACUACAAGCACAAGCUUGAAACCCAAAGGACUUGGCGGUGCUUUAGAUCCUCCUAGAGGAGCCUGUUCUAGAACCGAUAACCCCCGUUCAACCUCACCUUUCCUUGUUUUUCCCGCCUAUAUACCGCCGUCGUCAGCCCACCCCGUGAGGGCUAAAAAGUAGGCUUAAUUGGCAUAACCCAAUACGUCAGGCCGAGGUGUAGCGUAUGGAAGGGGAAGAAAUGGGCUACAUUCCCUAUUUUAGGGCACACGAAUGAUGUGCUGAAACGCAUAUCUUGAAGGAGGAUUUAGCAGUAAGCAGGAAGUAGAGCGUUCUGCUGAAAUUGGCUC